UACAGAGGUCUCAAGCGUUGUUCGGAUUCAUUGGGCGUAAAGGGUGUGUAGGUGGCGCCGUAAGUCGGGUGUGAAAUUUCGGAGCUUAACUCCGAAACUGCAUUCGAUACUGCGGUGCUUGAGGACUGGAGAGGAGACUGGAAUUCAUGGUGUAGCAGUGAAAUGCGUAGAGAUCAUGAGGGAAGACCAGUGGCGAAGGCGGGUCUCUGGACAGUUCCUGACACUGAGACACGAAGGCCAGGGGAGCAAACGGG
rnacentral:rRNA from 1 species